rnacentral:rRNA from 1 species
ACUGGAAAGAUUUAUUGGUUGGGGAUGGGCUCGCGGCCUAUCAGCUUGUUGGUGAGGUAAUGGCUCACCAAGGCGUCGACGGGUAGCCGGCCUGAGAGGGUGACCGGCCACACUGGGACUGAGACACGGCCCAGACUCCUACGGGAGGCAGCAGUGGGGAAUAUUGCACAAUGGGCGCAAGCCUGAUGCAGCAACGCCGCGUGAGGGAUGACGGCCUUCGGGUUGUAAACCUCUUUUAGCAGGGAAGAAGCGAAAGUGACGGUACCUGCAGAAAAAGCGCCGGCUAACUACGUGCCAGCAGCCGCGGUAAUACGUAGGGCGCUAAGCGUUAUCCGGAAUUAUUGGGCGUAAAGAGCUCGUAGGCGGUUUGUCGCGUCUGCUGUGAAAUCCGGAGGCUCAACCUCCGGCCUGCAGUGGGUACGGGCAGACUAGAGUGCGGUAGGGGAGAUUGGAAUUCCUGGUGUAGCGGUGGAAUGCGCAGAUAUCAGGAGGAACACCGAUGGCGAAGGCAGAUCUCUGGGCCGUAACUGACGCUGAGGAGCGAAAGGGUGGGGAGCAAACAGGCUUAGAUACCCUGGUAGUCCACCCCGUAAACGUUGGGAACUAGUUGUGGGGUCCAUUCCACGGAUUCCGUGACGCAGCUAACGCAUUAAGUUCCCCGCCUGGGGAGUACGGCCGCAAGGCUAAAACUCAAAGGAAUUGACGGGGACCCGCACAAGCGGCGGAGCAUGCGGAUUAAUUCGAUGCAACGCGAAGAACCUUACCAAGGCUUGACAUAUACGAGAACGGGCCAGAAAUGGUCAACUCUUUGGACACUCGUAAACAGGUGGUGCAUGGUUGUCGUCAGCUCGUGUCGUGAGAUGUUGGGUUAAGUCCCGCAACGAGCGCAACCCUCGUUCUAUGUUGCCAGCACGUAAUGGUGGGAACUCAUGGGAUACUGCCGGGGUCAACUCGGAGGAAGGUGGGGAUGACGUCAAAUCAUCAUGCCCCUUAUGUCUUGGGCUUCA